rnacentral:lncRNA from 1 species
AUGGAUUGUUUAGGCAGAUUCUGGCACAGAACACGGCUGAUAUUAGAACCUCCCCUCCCCCAGGGUCAUGACCUUGGGAAGAAGAGAUGGAUAAGUAAACCCUUAGACCCAUCUCAAUCUUACCUCCUCCAUAAGUUCUUUCCUAUAAUAAUUGUACCUUAUUCUUCCUUGUUCUUCCAUCUUCUAUAUCACGUUAUCUGGACAGCGGUUAGGCCCCUCUCUUCCUUCAAGGCUGAAGACUUCCAUAGUCAGUUGAGACUCUGCUUCCCACAUUAUAAUGAAGACCAACUACCUAGAAUGAACCUUUUCCAGGAGAGACUGUUACCCCGUGGACGAGGAGAUGCUCUCGUUAUACUUCUGUUGGACAGCACUAACUUAAAAGCUUGGAGCAGAGGCCCCAUGUUGCAGAAACCCAGAUCUCCAGGGAGGUGA